rnacentral:rRNA from 1 species
ACUAAAUAGAUACCCUGGUAGUCCACGCCCUAAACGAUGUCUACUAGUUGUUGGUGGAGUAAAAUCCAUGAGUAAACGCAGCUAAACGCGUGAAGUAGACCGCCUGGGGAGUACGGUCGCAAGAUUAAAAACUCAAAGGAAUUGACGGGGGCCCGGCACAAGCGGUGGAUUAUGUGGAUUAAAUUCGAUGCAACGCGAAAAACCUUACCUGGCCUUGACAUGCCACUAACGAAGCAGGGAUGCAUUAGGUGCCCGUAAGGGAAAGUGGACACAGGUGCUGCAUGGCUGUCGUCAGCUCGUGUCGUGAGAUGUUGGGUUAAGUCCCGCAACGAGCGCAACCCUUGCCAUUAAUUGCCAUCAUUUAGUUGGGCACUUUAAUGGGACUGCCGGUGACAAACCGGAGGAAGGUGGGGAUGACGUCAAGUCCUCAUGGCCCUUAUGGCCAGGGCUUCACACGUAAUACAAUGGUCGGUACAGAGAGUUGCCAACCCGCGAGGGGGUAGCUAAUCUCAGAAAGCCGAUCGUAGUCCGGAUUGUUCU